AAACCAUGAUUUGGUGACUUCAACAAAUAUUCCUUGAAUCUCUCCCAAGCUUCAAAUAGUUGUUCCCCUAGAAAUUGUUUGAAAUCAUAUAUCUUGUCACGAAUUU